ACUGGACAUACUCCAUUUGUAAUAACUUGGUUUGUCUACUUUUGCAAACUGUGUGCUAUCAUGGGGGCUACCAUUUGGUCUCAAAGGCAACAUAACCAGCCUGGCAAAUGUCAAUGUGUGUAAACUGAAAAAUGUAACCUGCUAUAUUUGACCCAGUAACUUUCCUAAACACCAUGAAAUCUAUACAUGGGGGGAGGGGGUAAUGUUUUACUCGAGACAUCGCUAAAUACAAAUAUGUGUACAUUAUUGCAGUAACCGCUAAUGGUAUUAUGACAUGUACAGUUAAAAUGCCAUGCAGAACUAAAG